GACGUAGGGCGCGAGCGUUGUCCGGAAUUACUGGGCGUAAAGCGCGCGUAGGCGGCUUUGCAAGUCGGGUGUGAAAUCCCCAGGCUUAACCUGGGAACUGCAUUCGAGACUGCAUUGCUAGAGUAUGGGAGAGGGAAGUGGAAUUUCCGGUGUAGCGGUGAAAUGCGUAGAUAUCGGAAGGAACAUCAGUGGCGAAAGCGACUUCCUGGACCAAUACUGACGCUCAUGUGCGAAAGCGUGGGGAGCAAACAGG
rnacentral:rRNA from 1 species